UAUUUAUUCUUAUCACGACAUAGAUAACCCCUCAGGAAAUUGUCUUGAGAAUAUAAAUCAUUUGCUAGAAUUACCUGUCCGCCUUGAAAUCGUUUCAUAUGUGAAUGCUAGCAGCAGAAGUCGUUGAUGGCAUUUCCUCUAUCGAUGGUGGCGAUGUUUACGAUGGUGAUGCAAUCGCUUGCGAUGGUUGGUCAAGGUGUGGGCCUCAUGUUUUGAAUCAGAACAUUGUACAAUUUUGUUGUCGGAGCUGAAACAAAAAAUGCAUGCAUAGAAGGGAAAAUGUCGCCUGGCUCCUACAUCGACUGACAGCGAAAAGCUUAACUCCAUCUUUACUGGUACAGACGGCAACUGCAACUUUUCGGCUCAAAUUCAAGAACCGGGCGGUCGUGCGAUAGCGGAAUGGCGGGGCGUUGCCGUGUUCCUCCAAAAUGUUGGGGCUGAUUCUGCGAUACCCUAAAUACAGUGAAAAUGGGGAAAAGUUGGUUUUGAAUCAUAGUUUUGUGUAAAUAUAUGUAACAGUAAGAAGGAAGCACCUCCGAUACCAUAAAGUAUAUACAUUCUUGGCCAACAUUAAUAAUUAAGUCGAUCUCGUUUCAGUAUGUUGAAGGUUGUUCAAGCCCUCUCAGUUUGUUUCCGAUAGUCGGUAACAUCCACAAUUCCAAGCAAUUGAUAUAAAUCUAUAUUAAAUUCCUGUUCUUUAUGAAUACCUCUUAAGCUUCAAAAGCUAUGCCACAAUACAAAGAUAUACCAAACAGCCUUUUUAUCGGAUAACGAUAAAUCGCAACGAGGGAACCCCAAGGGUGCCUGCGACUAUUUUAGUGUGCCCAGACAGAAUAAGACUCCUGACAGUGGCAGCCGCUGAGCGAGUUGCGGCUUUAUACUGAACGUUCGGCUCUCGAGGCGGGCGUUCGGCUGCCACUCUCAGCAGUCCUACUUUGUAUGGGCACACUAAAAUAGUCACAGGUACCAUUUAGGUUCCCUCGUUGCGAUUUAUGGUUAUCCGAUAACAAGGCUGUAUGGUUAGUGGCUAUGCUCAACAACCCCGUAAAAUCAAACAAAUAGAAGUUCCUAUUGGAAUCACACAAUGUAAAACUAAAUUUUAAGUCUAUUGCCGUUUUAAAAAUAGACGAUUAGUCAAUGCACAAUAGGAUCUAGUUCAGGAAGAUCGAGUAAGAAACACAGCAGCUAUAAACAAAACGUGUGGUUAUAUUGGUUAGCCGCUUGGAGGCCAACGCAAAAGUAGUUUCUGCAUGCAUGGUGUAUUGUAUUAUAAUAUCCUUGCAGAGGGUAUAAUAAUUUUGUCGUGAAAUCUGUAACGCAUAGAAUGAGACAUC